UUAGCGGCUAGGCUUAACAAGGCUGGAAUUUUAGCUGCCCAUGGCGGGCGCGUUCUCUUAAUGACGUAUUGCCAACAUGGCGGCUUCCAUGGAAGACAUCGCCGAGACGCUGGGAGAUUUGAAAAUAUCUUGCUUCUCUGGAAAACAAAAGACCUGAGAGUGUUGAAAGCAGAUAUCUUACAUAAAAUAAUAACAAAAUAUAAAUAUAAAGAUGGCUUGCUGCUCUUUGAGUAACCCUAAUGAGAGCUGAGAAAACUGUACAGAUGUUUCCAAAAGUUCGGGGAGUUAAAGAUAUCUUCAGCAUCGAUUCUCUCCUGUAAUUAAGGUAAGGGUUAGAGCCAUUGCCGGUGUACUACCCAGAUACUACUCCCGACCACUCCACCAUAUUUUGUGACUUUUCAGGGAGAAUAGCUCCAAUAAAGUAAGACGGAGGAGGAGGAGGGAGUAAAAUGAGUACAACCUCAUUUGCCAUUUUGCCUUCUUCUUCUGAAUACAGGUUGCAGGUCGGCCUCAAAAAGGGCAACUUCUGAAGGAUAGUUGACGUCUGUGGCCAGCAAGCAAAACAGUGAAGUUUAGCAAUGUAGAGAUCGAAGCUGAAGUGCGUAAUUAUGCAAGAUGGAAGCACACGAAGAGAAAACUUUUGGUUUGUGUUAAAAAGUUUCAGUUUACAAUUAUUACGUCAUCAGAACUGCGCAGGCCAUAGAAUGAUCUAGAAAUGACGCAAUGGAGACAAGUUAUUACGAUUUUUAGAACCGAGAUGGAGAAUUAAGGAGUUUACCCGAAAACUCAUCGUGGCUUCUGCGUUUGAAGAUGAAAGCCAUGCAAUAAGGCAAUGUUCCCUUGGUACUCAGUUAUCCUCUACCUUUAGAUUUGACUUGCUCUACAUAGAUUAGUCUUCAGGUCAGUUUUCGACUGACGUCUGACCAGCCGUGAAUUCCGUUGUGAGGCGAACCAGCUUCUGCUUUAAUCAGAUUCGAGGCACACAGAAACGGGGAGGUCCCUAAAGGGAAGACCCCGGUUGGGGCAGCUCCAAAGGGUCGAGAGGGAGGAUCCAAAUUCAUGUUCGUUGCCUUGUGGCAGUUUAGUUGAAUUUUUGAUGUCUUCAGUGAAAUACUGGGUGCGGCCAUAAAGAUACUAAUAUUUAACUUCUGUCAAAAGUUGGCGUCUUCAUCAGCGUUCUAUGUAAAUGAGAACUUCUUUUUAAGGGAAAAUAUUUCUCAGGUUGUGUCUAAAGCUACUGCUUGUUGAAUAGAUAGCUGAAUCGGCUGAACAGCGUUGUAAAUAAAUACAAAUUUAAAUUUAUGUGUUUAGAUAAUAAUCAUAA